rnacentral:rRNA from 1 species
GUGGGGAAUAUUGCACAAUGGGGGAAACCCUGAUGCAGCAACGCCGCGUGAAGGAUGAAGGUUUUCGGAUUGUAAACUUCUUUGAUUGGGGACGAAUAAUGACGGUACCCAAAAAACAAGCCACGGCUAACUACGUGCCAGCAGCCGCGGUAAUACGUAGGUGGCAAGCGUUGUCCGGAGUUACUGGGUGUAAAGGGCGUGUAGGCGGGAAGAUAAGUCAGAUGUGAAAUUCCAUGGCUCAACUGUGGCGCUGCAUCUGAAACUAUUUUUCUUGAGUGAUGGAGAGGAAAGUGGAAUUCCUAGUGUAGCGGUGAAAUGCGUAGAUAUUAGGAGGAACACCAGUGGCGAAGGCGACUUUCUGGACAUUAACUGACGCUGAGGCGCGAAAGCGUGGGGAGCAAACAGGAUUAGAUACCCCUGUAGUCC